rnacentral:rRNA from 1 species
UACGAAGGGGGCUAGCGUUGCUCGGAAUCACUGGGCGUAAAGGGCUCGUAGGCGGCCAACUAAGUCAGACGUGAAAUCCCCAGGCUCAACCUGGGAACUGCGUCUGAUACUGGAUGGCUUGAAUCCGGGAGAGGGAUGCAGAAUUCCAGGUGUAGCGGUGAAAUGCGUAGAUAUCUGGAGGAAUACCGGUGGCGAAGGCGGCAUCCUGGACCGGCAUUGACGCUGAUGAGCGAAAGCUAGGGGAGCAAACGGG